rnacentral:rRNA from 1 species
ACGUAGGGCGCAAGCGUUGUCCGGAAUUAUUGGGCGUAAAGAGCUCGUAGGCGGUUUGUCGCGUCUGCUGUGAAAGCCCGGGGCUCAACCCCGGGUCUGCAGUGGGUACGGGCAGACUAGAGUGCAGUAGGGGGAGACUGGAAUUCCUGGUGUAGCGGUGAAAUGCGCAGAUAUCAGGAGGAACACCGAUGGCGAAGGCAGGUCUCUGGGCUGUUGACUGACGCUGAGGAGCGAAAAGCAUGGGGGAGCGAAACAGGAAUUAGACGUACCCGGGUGUCAAUCCG